GUCGAACGCUUCACUUCGGUGAAGAGUGGCGAACGGGUGAGUAAUACAUCAUUAACCUGGCAUCUACAGGGGGAUAACUGAUGGAAACGUCACCUAAGACCGCAUAGGUGUAGAGAUCGCAUGAACUCUAUAUGAAAAGUGCUACGGGACUGGUAGAUGAUGGACUUAUGGCGCAUUAGCUGGUUGGUAGGGUAACGGCCUACCAAGGCGACGAUGCGUAGCCGACCUGAGAGGGUGACCGGCCACACUGGGACUGAGACACGGCCCAGACUCCUACGGGAGGCAGCAGUAGGGAAUUUUCGGCAAUGGGGGAAACCCUGACCGAGCAACGCCGCGCGAAGGAAGAAGUAAUUCGUUAUGUAAACUUCUGUCAUAGAGGAAGAACGGUGGAUAUAGGGAAUGAUAUCCAAGUGACGGUACUCUAUAAGAAAGCCACGGCUAACUACGUGCCAGCAGCCGCGGUAAUACGUAGGUGGCGAGCGUUAUCCGGAAUUAUUGGGCGUAAAGAGGGAGCAGGCGGCACUAAGGGUCUGUGGUGAAAGAUCGAAGCUUAACUUCGGUAAGCCAUGGAAACCGUAGAGCUAGAGUGUGUGAGAGGAUCGUGGAAUUCCAUGUGUAGCGGUGAAAUGCGUAGAUAUAUGGAGGAACACCAGUGGCGAAGGCGACGAUCUGGCGCAUAACUGACGCUCAGUCCCGAAAGCGUGGGGAGCAAAUAGGAUUAGAUACCCUAGUAGUCCACGCCGUAAACGAUGAGUACUAAGUGUUGGGUGUCAAAGCUCAGUGCUGCAGUUA
rnacentral:rRNA from 1 species